rnacentral:tRNA from 1 species
GCUGGCGUAGCUCAGUAGGUAGAGCAACUGAUUUGUAAUCAGUGGGUCGUAGGUUCGAUUCCUAUCGCCAGCUCCA